UGUUGUUACUACUUUGUAGUUUAAAUUUCUAGGUAGAAUUAUGAUGAUGACAUUAUCUAUCUAUAGGUCUUGACCAAAUUACGUGCCAGCAGUCGCGGUAAUACGUAGAAGACAAGUGUUAUUCAUCUUUAUUAGGUUUAAAGAGUACCAAGACGGUUAAUAAAGCCCAAAAUACAUGAGCACAGGGGACACAUUAACUAGAGUUAUAUGAAAGGAAGCAUUAAGGUACUGUUGAGUGUAGAGAUGAAAUUCAGUCAUACCAGAUGAAAGGCACAGAUUUAUGCGAAGGCAUCUUCUUAUGUAAUAACUGACGUUGUAGGACGAAGGCUUUUGAAGUGAAGAGGAUUAGAUACCCUCGUAAUCUAAGCAGAAAAUGAUGAAUGUCAUAGGUUUAAUAUAUACACCAAAAAAAAUGGUCUAUUAUUGGGUCUAUAAAUGAAAGUGUAAGCAUUCCACCUCAAGAGUAAUUUGGCAACAUUGGAACUGAAAUCAUUAGACCGUUUCUGAAACCAGUAGUGAAGUAUGUUGUUUAAUUAGAUGAUACACAAAGAACCUUACCACAAUUUGAAUAUAUAUCGUUAAUGAUAUUUACAAGCGUUGCACGGCUGUCUUCAGUUAAUGUCGUGAGAUUUUGGUUAGUUCCAUAAAAUUAACGUAAACCCUCGUUUUAUUUAUAAAUAAAAUU
rnacentral:rRNA from 1 species